UUAUAUUAAGUUAGUGUUUAUUACUAUUAGAGCUUUCUUACAAAUUGACGAAAGGUACGUAUGCUUGACGAAUCAUACGUAAGACUCGUUUUAUGGAUCCUUUAUUUUGACAUAUUUAAAUAAUAGUUGUGAAACUUCGGACAAUUAUCGUAUAUGUAACGACACUUAUGAAAUUGGAUUUUUCUUGAGAUAUAUUUAGGAUUUCGAGACGUACGAUAGGUUAGAAUAUGAUUAUUGAUACCACCAGGUUGGAGGAGAUAACGCUACAAAAUAUUCUAAAUAUAGAUUACUGGCAUACGAAACAAAUGCCCCUUGAAGACUAAAAACCGGCCCCUCCCCCACUCUUCAAUAUUACAAUGUUGCAAUGUUUAACAUAAGAAAAUGUUAAAGCAAAUACAUUGUCUUCUUCCCUAACAGAAACAUAAAUACUUCCGUGAAACUCAUGCUUGAAAAAUUCCCGCGGAAAUGUGUGUACUCGUGGUUUACGUAAGUAACGUAUCGGACGUAAGUGUAUUUGACACUAUUUUUCUCUGUUUUAUUAUAUUAAAAUCGUGUAUUAUUU
rnacentral:lncRNA from 1 species